rnacentral:rRNA from 1 species
CAAGAGCGUAUAUUAAAGUUGUUGCAGUUAAAAGCUCGUAGUUGGAUUUCUGGUACAACGCGCCUGGCCCGCUUACGUGAGUGCCGGUGCGCGUUUGCCAUCCUUCUAGAAAACGUCUCUACUCGGGCAACUGAGCCGGAUUCGCGAUCUAGAUCUUUUACUUUGAAAAAUUAGAGUGUUUAAAGCAGGCUAUUGCCUUGAAUACAUUAGCAUGGAAUAAUAAUCUAGGACUUCGGUUCUUAUUUUGUUUGGUUUCUUAGUACUGAAGUAAUGAUUGAUAGGGAGUAGUUGGGGGUGGCUAGUAUUGACCGGCCAGAGGUGAAAUUCUUGGAUUUGUUAAAGACGGACUACUGCGAAAGCAUUUGUCCAAGGAUGUUUUCUAUUGAUCAAGAACGAAAGUUAGGGGAUCGAAGACGAUCAGAUACCAU